rnacentral:rRNA from 1 species
UGAGGAAUAUUGGUCAAUGGACGCAAGUCUGAACCAGCCAAAUCGCGUGAAGGAAGACCGCCUUAUGGGUUGUAAACUUCUUUUGUAAGGGAAUAAAAAGCGCUACGUGUAGCACAUUGCAUGUACCUUACGAAUAAGCAUCGGCUAACUCCGUGCCAGCAGCCGCGGUAAUACGGAGGAUGCAAGCGUUAUCCGGAUUUAUUGGGUUUAAAGGGUGCGCAGGCGGGAACUUAAGUCAGCGGUGAAAUCUCGAGGCUCAACCUCGAACCUGCCGUUGAAACUGGGUUUCUUGAGUAUAGAUGAAGUAGGCGGAAUUCGUUGUGUAGCGGUGAAAUGCAUAGAUAUAACGAGGAACCCCAAUUGCGUAGGCAGCUUACUAAACUAUAACUGACGCUCAAGC